CAUACACAGAGUGUCUGGGACAGGAGAAGGUGCUGAAUCACUUUAUGGGCUUUCCAGGUAUAAAACAUGGGGUUCCAGUGGGCAAAAGCAGCAGGAAAAGCCAGCAAGAACACAGGGCUCCAUGAAUUUCAUGUUUGGAAGAACAGGAAUCUUCAAGGCCAGGUUGGACGGGAUGUGGAGCACCCUGGGACAGCAGAAGGUGUCCCUGGCCAUGGCAGGGCUGGAAUUUGGAUGAGCUUCAAGGUCCCUUCAGCCCAAACCAACCUGAGACACCGUGACCCCUGUGCUGCUCUGAGCCUCAGAGGAAAGAGCUCUGGGACAUAAAGGGAUGAUGGAUAAACAGGAAAAGGUUUUGGGUUUGUCUUCUCCACUCCUUCAGCCUCAUCCUCCCUCCAGGAGCCCUUUCUCCAGCUCCAGAUGCCCCAAAUGCAGAACCUCAGGGCAUGUCCUUGCCAGCAGUGCCCACAUCCCCUCCCAAGAGAGGGCUGAUCUGGGAACUCAUCCCACAAGCUCAAUAAUGAGUGGAAACUGAGACCUCAACCUGUGCUUUCUUUGUUUGUGAUCCUCCCUGGUCAGAGAGCAGAAAAUCAUAAUUUAUAGUGGCAAUUGUCAGCAUUUGUAACCAAGUUCUUGGCUAAAAUACUGGAAAUAUGAUUAAAAAAAUUAAAAAUGGCAGAUGGUGUCAUUCUGCUAAACAUAUUUUGCUGAUGCCUGUUGAUUUAGAAGUGCUCAAAAUGAUUUUAACAGGAGUUUUAUUGUGCAAGGACUUCAAUUUCCAACAUUUCUUGCUAAUGAGCAGCAUCAAUAAUCAAACUCAUCAAUCCCCUUGAAUCCCAAAGUGUCUUCAGUAGGAAUGCGGGGGAGGAAGCCUCAAUCAUGUCUGGGAUCUCUGUGAAGCAAUUCAAACUUCACAGUUGUUCAGGAGCAAAGUCUUAAACUUCUGCCUUAACUUUUAUUUAAAAGUGGUUCUGGCCUGGUAAAAAAAAAAAAAAUACAAACCAGCACAAUGUUAAUGUGAAGAUCUUGCAUGAAAAUACAGUUAAGAACUGUAUUUAAAACCAGAUUAUCAAAGCUUCAAUUCGUCAUUAAUUUUGGUAUUUGCAGCCAUUUUUUAAGACCAUUUGGUCUGAUUUAUAAUAUUUCUCGAGUU